UGGGGAAUCUUGGACAAUGGGGGCAACCCUGAUCCAGCGAUGCCGCGUGGGUGAAGAAGGCCUUCGGGUUGUAAAGCCCUUUAGGUCGGGACAAAGGUUAGUAGGGGAUAAUCCUAUUAGCUUGAUGGUACCGACAGAAUAAGCACCGGCAAACUCUGUGCCAGCAGCCGCGGUAAUACAGAGGGUGCGAGCGUUAAUCGGAAUUACUGGGCGUAAAGGGCGCGUAGGCGGUUUAGUGGGUGUGAUGUGAAAGCCCUGGGCUUAACCUAGGAAGCGCAUCGCAAACUACUGAACUGGAGUAGAUGAGAGGAUGGCGGAAUUUCCGGUGUAGCGGUGAAAUGCGUAGAGAUCGGAAGGAACGUCAAUGGCGAAGGCAGCCACCUGGCAUCAUACUGACGCUGAGGCGCGAAAGCGUGGGGAGCGAACAGG
rnacentral:rRNA from 1 species